CCUGACGCAGCGACGCCGCGUGGGGGAAGAAGGCCUUCGGGUUGUAAACCCCUUUCAGUUGGGACGAAGCUUCGCCGGUGAAUAGCCGGCUGGAGUGACGGUACCUUCACAAGAAGCCCCGGCUAACUACGUGCCAGCAGCCGCGGUAAUACGUAGGGGGCUAGCGUUGUCCGGAAUCAUUGGGCGUAAAGCGCGUGUAGGCGGUUCGGUAAGUCCGCUGUGAAAGUCGGGGGCUCAACCCUCGGAUGCCGGUGGAUACUGUCGGACUAGAGUGCGGAAGAGGCGAGUGGAAUUCCUGGUGUAGCGGUGAAAUGCGCAGAUAUCAGGAGGAACACCAAUUGCGAAGGCAGCUCGCUGGGACGUUACUGACGCUGAGACGCGAAAGCGUGGGGAGCAAACAGGAUUAGAUACCCUGGUAGUCCACGCCGUAAACGAUGGGCACUAGGUGUGGGGGGUGUCGACUCCCUCCGUGCCGAAGCUAACGCAUUAAGUGCCCCGCCUGGGGAGUACGGCCGCAAGGCUAAAACUCAAAGGAAUUGACGG
rnacentral:rRNA from 1 species